CCUGCUUGCCCUUGGGCAGGUCAUUUGCCUUGAACAGAUUUCUGAAUAAGAAAAUCCCUUUCCCUUUUAUCACGUUUGAGAAGAUCGUGACAGACACGCGUCUGUUUACACGGCCAUGCAGGCCUGUUUUGCUCAUCCCUUGGCAAACUGCCACCCAGUGAUGAAUUUCAGAGGCGUAAGAAUGUGGCUGAAAGCAAGAAUGUGGGCACAGGCUCCCGCUGAGGUCACCACAUGCGAGAUGUUAAUGAAGAUACCUCUUUAAAAAAUUGCCGUAGGAGAUCCCUGGUGGCUCAGUGGGUUAAAGAUCCAGUGUUGUCACCGCUGUGGCGCAGUUUCAAUCCCUGACCGUGGAACUUGUAUGUGACGCAGGUACAGCAAAAAAAAAAAAAAAAAAAAAUUACUGGCAUUCCCAUCCUGGCUCAGUGGUAAUGAACCUGACUAGUAUCCAUGAGGAAUCGGGUUCGAUCC
rnacentral:lncRNA from 1 species